rnacentral:lncRNA from 1 species
GAAUUAUAUGUGAAAUAAUCUGUCUGUAAACAAUUGUUGGAAAAAUGAAUUGCGUCAUGCACAAAGUAGAUGUCCUAACCGGCUUGCCAAAACUAUAGUUUGUUAACAAUACAUUUGUGGAGUGGUUGAAAAACCAGUUUUAAUGACUCCAACCUAAGUGUAUGUAAACUUCUGUAGUAUGUAUGUUGCCUCAGAGCUCAGGACAUCCUCAAAGCAUCAGACCCACGAUGCACCUUUGGGGAGACGAGAGUGCAGGAAGAGACAGACUGUCAAGCUUUCUGUCAGGCUUCUGUCAAGCCAUUUGGUAGUAAGACAGCGUAUCAGAACCUCUGGGUGUGUCAGGGUCCAUGAUGACAGUGUGUGCGUCCUAAAUGGCACACCUAUUCCCUAUAUAGUGUGCUACUGUUGACCAGGGCCCUAUUCAAAAUAUAGUGCACUACUUUAUACCAGAGCCCUAUUCCCUAUAUAGGACACUACCUUUGACCAGGGUCCUAUUCACUAUAUAGAACACUACUAUAGACCAGAGCCCUAUUCCCUAUAAAGCCCACUACCUUUGACCAGAGCCCUAUUCCCUAUAUAGUACACUACCUUUGACCAGAGCCCUAUUCCCUAUAUAGUACACUACCUUUGACCAGAGCCCUAUUCCCUAUAUAGUACACUACCUUUGACCAGAGCCCUAUUCCCUAUAAAGCCCACUACCUUUGACCAGAGCCCUAUUCCCUAUAUAGUACACUACCUUUGACCAGAGCUCUAUGAGUCCUAUAUAGCCCUGAUGUACGUGCUCUCAGAGUCUGUCUGUCUGUCUGUCUGUGGACAGCUUUCACUUCUUACAGCAGAUGGCUUAACUGGGCACAUGUGCAGGCACCGCUGGCACUGCUGAGAGAGAGAGAGAGAGAGAGAGAGAGAGAGAGAGAGAGAGAGAGAGAGAGAGAGAGAGAGACUCAGAGUUCAGGACAUCCCCAAAGCAUCAGACCCACAAUGCACCUCUGGGGAGACGAGAGUGCAGGUGGAAACAGACUGUCAAGCUUUCUGUCAGGCUUCUGUCAAGCUUCUGUCAAGCUUCUUGAUGAAAGUGUGUGCGUUCCAAAUGGCAUUCUAUUCCCUGUAUAGGAUUCAUAUGGGCCCUGGUGAAAAGUAGUGCACUAUGCAGGGAAUAGGGUGCCAUUUGGUAGUCAGACAGCAUAUCAGAACCUCUGGGUGUGUCAGGCUCCAUGAUGACAGUGUUUGCGUCAUAAAUGGCACCCUAUUCCCUAUAUAGUACACUACCUUUGACCAGAGCACUAUUCCCUAUAUAGCCCACUACCUUUGAACAGAGCCCUAUUCCCUAUAAAGCCAACUACCUUUGACCAGAGCUCUAUGAGUCCUAUAUAGCCCACUACCUUUGACCAGAGCUCUAUGAGUCCUAUAUAGCCCACUACCUUUGACCAGAGCUCUAUGAGUCCUAUAAAGGGUUAAUAGAGUGCCAUUUGGGAAUCAACCAGUGUAUUAGAAAUUCUAAGUCUGUCAAGCUUUUUGUUGACUGUGCCUGUGUCCCAACUGGCACCCUAUUCCCUAUGUACCCCGGUCAGAAGUAGUGGAAUGGUUGUGUCAUGACAGUGUGUCUGAGAUGUCUGAUGUACGUGCUCUCAGAGUCUGUCUGUCUGUCUGUGGACAGCUUUCACUUAUUACAGCAGAUGGCUUUGCUGGGCACAUGUACAGGCACCGCUGGCACUGCUGAGAGAGAGGAAGAGAGAGGAAGAGAGAGGAAGAGAGAGGAAGAGAGAGGAAGUGAGAGGGGAGAGAGAGAGAGAGAGAGAGAGAGAGAGAGAGAGAGAGACUCAGAGUUCAGGACAUCCCCAAAGCAUCAGACCCACGAUGCACCUCUGGGGAGACGAGAGUGCAGGUGGAGACAGACAGACGGAAAGGAAGAUAAAAAAAAUGGGAGAGAAGGGGGGAGACAGAGACAAAGAAUGGGGAUUGAAGAGGAGAGGGGGAGGAGAGAGAAGAAAGGUGAGAAAGAGGAGAGGGGGAGAGAGACAAUGGUAGACAGAGAGAUAAAAAUAGAUGUGGAUUCUGAGAGACAGAAAGAAAGAGGGGGGGACAGGAUGAGAGAACACAUUAUUGUGACAGUGUUAAGGACGUUUUUGUUGUUUGACCUUUUCCAAAAAGCACCAGACCCCCCCCCCCCCCGUCCCACUCUCUCUAGGGUGAAUAGGACAAAUGUUUAGUAUGAAGAUGUGUAUAGGCUUAACUGCUCGUAGAUCUGUGGCUGAUGGAUGCCAUACAGAAAGACGUAUCGCUGUAGCAGUGCUGCCAUCUACAGGACAUACUGAGUUACUGCAGCAGUAGCAGUGCUGCCAUCUGUAGGACAGACUGAGUUACUGCAGCUGCCGCAGUGCUGCCACCUAUAGGACAUACUGAGUUACUGCAUCUGUAGCAUUAUGACAAUGCCCCAGUGUACAAAACGAGGUCAAUACAGAAGUGGUUUGUUGAGAUCAGUGUGGAAGAACUUGACUGGCCUGCACAGAUCACUGACCUUCACCCCAUCGAACACCUUAGGGAUGAAAUGGAAUGCCAACUGCAACAUCAGUGCCCGACCUCACUAAUGCUUGUGGCUGAAUGGAAGCAAGUCCCCUCAGCAAUGUUGUCGACAUACUUUUGGUCAUGCAGUGUAUGUGGGUAGAUGGAGUAGAGUUACUGGUUUACCAAUGAACGACCGCAAGGGUUUGCAUUGUGCUCAUCUCAAUAUCUGUGGUGCUGCUCGUGGCAACAUCUUAGCUAGCUAAUAAGCACUCUCACCACCAAUCUUCCCCUCUUGACUUUACGGUGGCUGCAGUUUGAGUUUAGAGUCGAUACCACAGCAGAGUUGUCUGUACCUGACACCCAGAUGACGACACGCAUCUCUGCGUGCCUGGCAGAUAUCUCAACUUGGAUGUCGGCCCACCACUUCAAGCUCAACCUCGACAAGACGGAGCUGCUCUUCCACCCGGGGAAGGCCUGCCCGUUCAAAGACCUCUCCGUUACAGUUGACAACUCCACAGGGUCGCCCUCCCAGAGUACAAAAAACCUUGGCGUGACCCUGGACAACCCACUGUCAUUCUCUGCAAACAUCAAAGCAGUGACCCGCUCCUGCAGGUUCAUGCUCUACAACAUCCGUAGAGUAUGACAUUACCUCAAAACAGGAAGCGGCGCAUGUGCUAAUCCAGGCACUUGUCUUCUCCAGUCUAGACUACUAGGGUUUCCGAGUGGCACAGCAGUCUAAAGCACUGCAUCUCAGUGCAGGAGGUGGCAGUACAGUCCCUGGUUUGAAUCCAGCGUCAUCCAGGUUUGGCUGGAGUAGGCUGUCAUUGUAAAUAAUAAUUUGUUCUUAACUGACUUACCUAGUUAAAUAAAGGUUCAAUUAAAAAAAUACUGCAACUCGCUGUUGGCUGGGCUGUCCACUUGUGCAAUCAAACCCUUGCAACUUAUCCAGAAUUCUGCAGCCCGCCUGGUUUUCAACCUUCCCAAGUUCUCUCAUGUCACACCGCUCCUCCACACACUCCACUGGCUUCCAGUCGAAGCUCGUAUCCACUACAAGACUAUGGUGCUUACGUACGACGAACUGCCCAUCCCUACCUUCAGGCUAUCCUCAAACCCUACUCCCCAACCCGAGCACUCCGUUCUGCCACCUCAGGUCUCUUGGCCCUCCCACCUCUACAGAGCUCCUGCCCAUCUUCCAAAAACAUCUGAAACCCUACCUCUUCAAACAGUAUCUUAAAUAAUCCUCCUCCUCACCUCGACCCCUCCCCCACCAAAUAAAUUAUAAUAACCAGCACAGGCACUUGACCGCCCCCCAGCCAUUCUAGCUCUGACUCUACUGAUGGCUACGUUAUUGAAAAAAAAAGUUGUUUCUAUACCUAUGAUGUGGUUGUCGCACCUAUCUAUCUUAAGAUGAAUGCACUAACUGUAAGUCACUCGGGAUAAAAGCGUCUGUUAAAUGACUAAAAUGAUAAAAGUAACUCUCUUGUUCAACCCACCCAAUGAACACCAGAAAUGUCUAUAAGCUGUCAAAAUGUAGAUGUGUAAUCACUUCGACACUGGAAACAAUGGCUAACUCUAGUUAGCGAUAGCCAAAGAUACGUCGUUUACAAUGAGAAAAUGAAAGACAGUGGGCAAAACGAACAAGGUGGUGAGCAGAGCCAAGCACAAGCUAGCGAGAUCCUAUUGUCACGUUUUAGCCUGCAUUUGUAUAUUUCCGUUAGGGAAUGCCUACUCUGUGAAGUGUGCGUGUGCAAUAACUACAUUAUCUCUUGCAAAACAACGCAAUGUUUAGAAACUUUGGCAAACGGUCAAGUCUCCAAAACUUAGUGCACUCUGUUCGUGACAUAUUGUAGUGUUGGGAGCAGAAAACUGUAUUGAGAUUGAAUGUUUCAUCGAUGAGAAUUUGUAGAAUGUCGGCCAUAUUUGGUGACUUCUACACUAUCGGGUUUCCCCUAUCCAUUUGUGCUGUUGCCAUGACAAUGAAAAGCACUACUGCUAUGAAUAGUGAUUAUCACAUCACUUCCGUCUGUAACUGGACUCCAUCUAGCCACAACCUUUAUGUAACCUGUGGAGAGAAUCCCCAACAGAUGAACCAAUACAUUAAAGAUCUAAUGAACAAUAUACAUCAAGGACACAUCAACAUUAUAAGUUUAAUUAUUUAGUUCAAACUCUUUGGAAUCUCUGGCACAUCAGAAUAGAAUAGCCAUGAUGUACAUGAUGUAUAUAAACAAGAAAACAUCACCUUCACUCUCUCCCGGACCUUCUUGUCGGGUAGGAGCAGCUGCAGAGGCCUCAGAGAAUAGGAGAUGACGUCAGGGUGGUCCAUCAGGGUGCACAUCCAACUAUGGAAGCCUGAGUCACUAUGGUUGAGUGACAGCUCCCCCAGCCAACCAGAGCCUCCCACCACCUUGGUGUGGUGGCUGAGGAAACGAGAGUUGUCGGAGGUCCCAGAUUCACAGUUGUCUAAAACUUUGACAUAGUCUUGGUGUGAAGCAGGAACCAAAGCGACGGAUCGGACAAUGAGUUGACAGACAGAAUGUUCUGGUGCUCUCCUCUACUAGAGGCUUUUAUUUACAAUAUUAGCAGAUGCAGGACUAAUUGGCCAAUAAAGGUUGUAAAGAAAGUAACAAACAGGACGAUGACAAAGACUUGAAUAAAUCAAACAUAUUCUCAGUAUAGACUAUUCCGGCAACAAAACUCAGGUUUAACUCUACUGUAGCCAACCUGUUACCUACCCAGCCUGCUCUCCUCCAGGUAUAACUCUACCCUAGCCAACCUGUUACCUGCCCAGCCUGCUCUCCUCCAGGUAUAACUACUGUAGCCAACCUGUUACCUACCCAGCCUGCUCUCCUCCAGGUAUAACUCUACUGUAGCCAACCUGUUACCUGCCCAGCCUGCUCUCCCCCAGGUAUAACUCUACCCUAGCCAACCUGUUACCUGCCCAGCCUGCUCUCCUCCAGGAAUAACUCUAUCCUAGCCAACCUGUUACCUGCCCAGCCUGCUCUCCUCCAGGUAUAACUCUACUGUAGCCAACCUGUUACCUGCCCAGCCUGCUCUCCUCCAGGUAUAACUCUACUAUAGCCAACCUGUUACCUGCCCAGCCUGCUGUCCUCCAUGUAUAACUCUACUGUAGCCAACCUGUUACCUGCCCAGCCUGCUCUCCUCCAGGUAUAACUCUACUGUAGCCAACCUGUUACCUGCCCAGCCUGCUCUCCUCCAGGUAUAACUCUACUGUAGCCAACCUGUUACCUGCCCAGCCUGCUCUCUCUUGGUUUCAGGAUUCUUGACUAUACCUUGAAGAGAUACAUUCAAGUAUUUCGUCAUCCAAUAAUUAGCUUGUGUCAUUGUUUUCAAGUCAUGGACAUGUGCUCCAAGACACUUGGCCACUACAAUAGACUUUUGUUUUCCCCAGGCCCAUCUCAAGACCCCCAGCUGGUGUGUUUAUGGACAUAUUCAAUCAAUCCUUAUCCCAGUCUGCUGUUCCCACAUGCUUCAAGAGGGCCACCAUUGUUCCUGUUCCCAAGAAAGCUAAGGUCCACAGACGACGCAACCGCCAUCACACUGCACACUGCCCUAACCCGUCUGGAUAAGAGGAAUACCUAUGUAAGAAUGCUGUUCAUCGAUUACAGCUCAGCAUUUAACACCAUAGUACCCUCCAAAAUCGUCAUUAAGCUCGAGACCCUGGGUCUCGACCCCGCCCUGUGCAACUGGGUCCUGGACUUCCUGACGGGCUGCCCCCAGGUGGUGAAGGUAGGUAACAACAUCUCCACCCCGCUGAUCCUCAACACUGGGUCCCCACAAGGGUGCGUUCUCAGUCCUCUCCUGUACUCCCUGUUCACCCACGACUGCGUGGCCAUGCACGCCUCCAACUCAAUCAUCAAGUUUGCAGACGACACCACAGUGGUAGGCUUGAUUACCAACAACGACGAGACGGCCUACAGGGAGGAGGUGAGGGCCCUCGGAGUGUGGUGUCAGGAAAAUAACCUCACACUCAAUGUCAACAAAACAAAGGAGAUGAUCCUGGACUUCAGGAAACAGCAGAGGGAGCAGCCCCCUAUCUACAUUGACGGGACAGUUGUGGAGAGGGUGGAGAGUUUUAAGUUCCUCGGCGUACACAUCACAGACAAACUGAAGUGGUCCACCCACACAGACAGCGUGGUGAAGAAAUUUGGCUUGUCACCAAAAACACUCACUAACUUUUACAGAUGCACAAUCGAGAGCAUCCUGUCGGGCUGUAUCACCGCCUGGUACGGCAGCUGCUCCGCCCAUAACCGGAAGGCUCUCCGAGGGGAGUGAGGUCUGCACAACGCAUCACCGGGUGCAAACUACCUGCCCUCCAGGACACCUACACCACCCGAUGUCACAGGAAGGCCAAAAAGAUCAUCAUGGACAACGACCACCCGAGCCACUGCCUGUUCACCCCGCUAACAUCCAGAAGGCGAGGUCAGUACAGGACCUGAGGCCUAGGACCAUGCCUCAGGACUAACUGGCCUGAUGACUCCUUGCUGUCCCCAGUCCACCUGGCCGUGCUGCUGCUACAGUUUCAACUGCUCUGCCUGCAGCUAUGGAACCCUGACCUGUUCACCAGACGUGCUACCUGUCCCAGACCUGCUGUUUUCAACUCUCUAGAGACAGCAGGAGCAGUAGAGGUACUCUCAAAGAUCGGCUAUGAAAAGCCAACUGACAUUUACUCCUGAGGUGCUGACCUGUUGCACCCUCGACAACCACUGUGAUUAUUAUUAUUUGACCCUGCUGGUCAUCUAUGAACAUCUUGGCCAUGUACUGUUAUAAUCUCCACCCGGCACAGCCAGAAGAGGACUGCCCACCCCUCAUAGCCUGGUUCCUCUCUAGGUUUCUUCCUAGGUUUUGGCCUUUCUAGGGAGUUUUUCCUAGCCACCGUGUUUCUACACCUGCAUUGCUUGCUGUUUGGGGUUUUAGGCUGGGUUUCUGUACAGCACUUUGUGACAUCAGCUGAUGUAAGAAGGGCU